UACGUAGGGGGCUAGCGUUGUCCGGAAUCAUUGGGCGUAAAGCGCGUGUAGGCGGUCCGGUAAGUCCGCUGUGAAAGUCGGGGGCUCAACCCUCGGAUGCCGGUGGAUACUGUCGGGCUUGAGUACGGAAGAGGCGAGUGGAAUUCCUGGUGUAGCGGUGAAAUGCGCAGAUAUCAGGAGGAACACCAGUGGCGAAGGCGGCUCACUGGCCCGGUACUGACGCUGAGGCGCGAAAGCGUGGGGAGCAAACAGG
rnacentral:rRNA from 1 species